AGAGUUUGAUCCUGGCUCAGAACGAACGCUGGCGGCGUGCUUAACACAUGCAAGUCGAGUGCGCGUUCCGUAGCAAUACGGAAUGGCGCACGGCGCACGGGUGCGUAACACGUGGGUAACCUGCCCUUUGGUGGGGAAUAACUCCGCGAAAGCGGAGCUAAUUCCGCAUAAGAUCCGCAAGGAUGAAAGCCGAGAGGCGCCGAUGGAGGGGCCCGCGCACGAUUAGCUAGUUGGUAGGGUAACGGCCUACCAAGGCUUUGAUCGUUAGCUGGUCUGAGAGGAUGGCCAGCCACACUGGAACUGAGACACGGUCCAGACUCCUACGGGAGGCAGCAGUGGGGAAUCUUGCACAAUGGGCGAAAGCCUGAUGCAGCGACGCCGCGUGGGGGAUGAAGCAUUUCGGUGUGUAAACCCCUUUCGAUCCGGACGAAUGCCCGCAAGGGAUUGACGGUACGGAUAUAAGAAGCCCCGGCUAACUACGUGCCAGCAGCCGCGGUAAGACGUAGGGGGCCAGCGUUGUUCGGAAUUACUGGGUGUAAAGGGUUCGUAGGCGGUGCGGCAAGUUGGGAGUGAAAUCUCUGGGCUUAACCCAGAGGCUGCUUCCAAAACUGCUGUGCUUGAGUGUGGGAGAGGCGCGUGGAAUUGCAGGUGUAGCGGUGAAAUGCGUAGAUAUCUGCAGGAACACCCGUGGCGAAAGCGGCGCGCUGGACCACUACUGACGCUGAGGAACGAAAGCUAGGGGAGCAAACAGGAUUAGAUACCCUAGUAGUCC
rnacentral:rRNA from 1 species